rnacentral:tRNA from 1 species
GGGGUUGUGGCUCAGUGGUAGAGUGCUCACCUAACAUGCAAGAGGCCCUGGGUUCAAUCCUCAGCACCACA